CCUUCAGUUUGAAAAGCCGUUCUGGUUGUUAAAGCAUGUAGUACAUAAAAGUUUAAGGGUUAAUAAUAUGUGCUGUUUACAGCCAAACGGGUAACUGUCAUUGCAAAGUGCUCUAGUUUGGAAGUGUACCACGUGACAAAUAAAACUGGAGGUCUAUGAAAUAUAUUUUGCAGUAUUAUUAUUAUUAUUGGUUAGGCCUUCGUAGCAGACUCGUUUAACUGUUACCCCACGCUCUGUGUGCUAAAAUAAUAGUGUAUGUUGGUAUUAUUCGUGUAGAUUAUUCUGGCAGUCAAAUCAGGAUCACAAAGAAAUUGUGCAGUACCAUAUGAAAAGGUGACUUGAUCAAUUGUCAUCAGAACAGCCUUUAGCCUGAUCCCUGAAGUGAUGAAGAACAAGAAACUCCCUGGUAAAAAGAAUGCUGUUGAUGUCAACAUUAGUUAUGUUUCUGACUUGGAUGGGUAACCACUUCACCUGACCACAAUAACUUGGACAAAACCUCAGAUUCUACUUCUGGGUCACUAUGAUUCUGAAGAAGGAAGCAGCAAGUUCCUUUGAAAAGGCAUUCUGACAGUGUCCACCACAAUAAUUUAUUAUGUGACAUACAUCCAAACAAAUGUGUAUUGAUUAUUAAAACAUUGUUAAACACA